rnacentral:tRNA from 1 species
ACUCAAAUAGUUUAACUAAAAAUGUUAGUUUGUGAUACUAAAGAUGUAAGUAUUUACUUUGGGUA